CAUAUGGGCACUGGGUCUCUGGGCAGUGGUGUGAGGCCUGAGCACAUUGCAGCAGGCUGGGGACAGCCAGACUGGCCAUACCUGAACUUGGAGAAAAACAACCCAUUUGGAAAAUACCCUCCUAGAUCUACCAAAUUUAGCCUAACUCUGGCUUCUUCCAAGAGAUUAUCAAGAAAGAAAAAAUAUAAGUUAGCAAGUUUUGUCUGGCUAAGGGGUAUUGUGAGGAGGGGUAAAGACUUCAGAAUGGGUAGAGCUGGAUACAACCUUGGGUUUGCAUCUGGUAAAGUAAAGAUGGUGAGGAGGAUAAGCCAAGGGUAAAUUAAGCUGCUGAGCACUGCCUAAACUUUGGGAUCCAAGUAGGCAUAUGACAUAAUUUCCACGCAGAAAUAUAUUCUGAGCUUAAAGUUAACCCACUUUGAAGUGCAAUUGACCUUUGAGACAGGGGGUUAAAAUUUAUUUUUUAUUUUUUAGAUGAAAUAAUAAUAUAUGGAAGAUCAUAAGCCAAUGUUGGGUCAGGCUUCUGAAAUUAUAGGUUGUUUUCAAAUUUGUUUAAAGUUACAUUGAGAUAAAUCUACAUAGUUCAGGCCUCCUGGGAUAUCCCCCACCUCUGUCACAGCCCCACUCUGAGCACUGUCCACAAUCCCUUACUCUUCUUUAGAGUGUCACCAAAUAUGUCAAUACAUGUAUGUACACAUGCAGAAAUAUACAUUAUGUAAUAUUUUGUUCCUUUUGGAAUUUCUUGAAAAUAAAAUCUCUUAUUCUUAUGUACAUUCUUUUGCAGCUUUCUCUCCUUAAUUUGCACCCUUUAAGCUGAGCAUCAGGAAGAAGGAAACACCUGACAAGCUCAAGGAUCAGAAGGACACCAACCCUUCUCAAGUCAUUCUGGAAGCUGACUAGCCUGCAUGUGCCCAAAGCUAGAGGAAACAUCAGCCCUGCUUCAGCCACUGUGGGCUGGAUGAUCCACACAAGGUGUAAGAUAAACUCACCAACAGGAAAAUGGACUGUUUCUCCCUCUAAGACAGCUCUUAUACUCUCAUUGCCACCACUUACCUCUUUCAUAUACACAGUCCUUUCUUUUCUCUUGACUCUAGGACUGAUAACAAUCAAACACAUAGUUAACACUAUCAGAAAACUACCACAUGUACCAGUUCAAACCUGAAAGGGUAUUACGGUUGGCAUCCAAGCUCACUAGUUGGUGGAUGGUUUCCUGUUCUUGAUGGAUUCAAAUCUUAAUUGACAUAGCAGGGAUUAUGCUAUGAACUUGUUCAUUGCUUCCAUGUUUGCUUCCUCUUUACAUUACAACUAGUGGGUCUACUAUAGAAGCAGCUGUUAAAAAAAAAUAUGAUGUGACAUUAUAUAAAGCUUAAAGCCAAGAAGAUAAUAAUGCUUUUUGACUUAGAGGAUUAAAUAGUGAGCAUCAAAGGGGGUAAUGAUGUACCCCACAGAAGACCCCCAUCUUCAUUGUAAGAUAUAAGCCUCUCUCCUAGUCAAGGAGAUAAUUGUUUAAGAAGUGAGCAGGAUUUCUAGAGAACUUAUUGUGCUUUGCGCUCCUCUUUGUUGUGAAGGCCGGGUUUCUUGUAAAGGCCUGCAGGGCUGGGGUUGUGGUCAGUGACAGAGCACUUGCCUAGCAUAUGUGAGACCUGAGGUUUGAUUCUUGGCACCACCAAAAAACAGAAAAAAAUUACAUGUAUUAUUCUCAUCUACAAUUUAAAAAAAAAGGUCUCCAAUCAUGUGUGUUGAUGUGCAAAAGAUCUGUUUCCAUAGUAAAAAAAUUUGAAACCUCUUUCCAACCAAAGAACGUGGAACAAAAUGUAACUGUUAUGUUAACCAUUGUAUUGUACAACCACCAACUGAAUUCUCUGAGAAUUUCCAGACCUGAGGUCCAGAGAUUGUUUGGCUUUAGCCCUUCUGGAUUGCUGCA
rnacentral:lncRNA from 1 species